AUCCUAUUUGUCUAUUUUUGCUCUGGUUGCUUGUGCUUCAGGGGUAUUACUCAAGAAAUCUUUGCUCAGACCAAUGUUCUGAAGUUUCCCAAGUGUUCUCUAGAUUCAUAGUUCGACAUCUUAGACUUAGGUCUGUAAUGCAUUUGAUUUUUGUGUGUGACUGUAAUGCAUUUGAUUUUUGUGUGUGAUGAGAGACAGGGGUCUGGUUUCAUCUUCUAAACAUGGAUAUCCAGUUUUCACAGCCCCAUUAAUUGAAAACACUGUCUUGUCACCAAGGUAUGUUCUUGGUAUUUUUGUUGAAGUGAGUUCCCUGUAGGUGUAUGAAUUUAUUUCUGGCCUCUCUAUUCUGUUGUACUGGUCCAUGUGUCUUUUGUUAUGCCAGUUACCAUGCUGCUUUGGUUACCCAUAGCUCUGUAGUAUAAUUUUAAGUCAGGUUAUGUAAUUCCUUCAGUUUUGUUCUGCUCAGAAUGACUUUGGCUGUUCUGGGUGUUUUCUGAUUCCAUCAGAAAAUUUUAGGAUUAUUAUUUCUAUUUCUGUGAAGAUAUCAUUGGUAUGUUGAUAGGGACUUCAUUGACUGUGGAUUGCUUUGGGUAGGAUGGACAUUUUAACAAUAUGGAUUCUUGCAAUCCAUGAAAAUGGAAUAUCUUCAAUUUUGUCUCCUAUUCCAUUUCUUGAAUCAAUGUUUUAUAGUUCUCACUGUAGAGGUCUUUCACUUCUUAGGUGAAGUGUAUUCCUACAUAUCUUAUUUUGUUUGAGCUAUUGUAAAUGACAAUAGUUUGUGAUUUCUUUUUCAGAUUGUUCAAUGUUGGUAUAUACAAAGGUUACUGAUUUUGUAUGUUUAUUUUUUUAUCCUGCAACUUUACUGAAUUUGUUUGUUUAUCAGUUCUUAGGGGGAGUGUUUAGGUUUUCCAAAUAUAAAAUUAUAUCAUCUUCAAACACGGGUAAUUUUACUUUUUCUUUUCCAAAUAGAUCCCCUUUGUUUCUUUCUCUUGUCUGAAUGCUCUAGCUAGGACUUCCUGUAUUUUUCAUCAUGUUUAGUUUAAUAGUGUAAAUCAUAGAACCCAAAGAAAGUACCACUAGCGAUGCAUAAAGUGCUUCCAAGAAGGAGAGAAAUAACAUUCUAAGAAAAAGCUGAUUUGCUUGAUAUGUACCACAGUUUGAGAUCUGUAUCUUUGCCUGCAUUUUCAGACAGAUGAUUCAUCUCAGAAACACAUGAAGUAAACUUACGGUAUUGAUAAAUUCAGUGCAGUACUGUAAAUAUACUUUAUAUCUUCCUUAUAAUUUUCUUAACAUUUCCUUUUCUCUAGCUUACUUUUGUAAGGGUAACAGUAAGCAGUCUAUCAUGAAAAGUAUUUGAUUUUUAAUCUAAGUAAAAUGGAUGUAUUAUGAAAGUAUUUGUGACUGGGGUAUAAUGAACUAAUAAAAUCUAUUACACGUAGGAAAUAUUUAGGAGAAGAGCUUUUGGAAGAAAAGAAAAUAAUAACAUUAGUAGUUUCUUAGUUCAAGUCAUGUAAAACUCUACAUUUUACAUAGCGUUAAUGAAAGAUAAUAUAAGAUUCCUCCAAUAAAGGCUUCUCCCUUUAUCUGAUACUGAGUUAUUCUACAAGGCCUGUCUGAUGAUGCUAUUGUCAUUUACUAAUUUUAUAAAGCCUAUCUAUGAGGUUUUUGUCACAGAAACGGUAUGGAAAACUGUCUCUCAAACUAUUCCUAAACCUGUUAGGAAAAUAUGUCUUUAUACCUAAAAUCUGUGAAGGUAUUGGAUAUCAUAUCAUUAUCACCACAAAGUAUCUACUAUUUCAGUAUAGGAAUAUUAAUUGUAUUUUUAUCAGAUUAAUCCAAACCACAUAACACAUAUAUGUUCUCUAUUAUCUAAACUUAAAAUAAGGAAUUUUAUUUAUGGAGGUUUUUUUUAUUUAAGCAAUUCUCAAGUUCGAUCUAGCCUCUGAAAUUUUUAUAUGAAAGACUUAAUAAAUGAUGUAUCAUUCUCAAAAUAAUGUCUUUUAACUUAAACAUUAUAAAUAAUAUUUUACAUAUUACAGAUGCAGCAGGAGUUGCAAGACAGUAUAACUACAGAGAUACAAAAAGGUAUGUUACCAAUGUUUAUUAAUUAAAUUAAAUUCAUUGAUUUCUGAAAUAAACUAUAAAUAGUAAAUGGCAUCCCUUUCUAUUGUUUGGUUUAUAGAUAAUAUGUUAAAUAUUUUUUUCAUACAUACCACUAAUGAAAGAUGUGAAAGCAUUAACAUUUAUAAUGAAAAGUAUACUUAACCCGUCGUUAAUUCAUCAUGUUCCAUAGCUUCAGAGAAAUCUCAAGAAGUCUGUGUAUCUUUUUUCCUCUGGCUCUACAUUUUCUUCACUUCUGCCAUCCCUAUGGACCUGCCAGCCAGCACACUGAAACUGUUCUCAGAAAACAAAGGAAUCAUCGACUUCCCAGGUUUAUGGUGGUGAUUUAAGGCCAAGAGACAGACUCCAGGCUCAUCUAGUAACAGGCUACUCCAGUUCAAAGGCAGCCACAUGACAGAAGCUUGUCCUUAGAAUACAGCCACCAUAUAUCCUGAGGAAGCCCAAGCCACAUGGUGAAUCGUUAUGUAGCUAUUCCAGCUGACAGUCCCAGCUAAAGUCUCAGCCAAAAGCCAGCUUCAGCUGCCACAAAUGCCCUGUCCCUUUGAUGUUGAGCGGUGGAUGGAGUUGGCGGGAUUUGCCUGUGGCUUGCGGCAUACCCAGUGGAUUGUAUCAAAUCCAGAAUUCAAGUUCCUUCCAUGUCUGGAAAACAGCUAGGAUUUAUCAGAACCUUUAUAAAUGUGGUGAAAAAUGAAGGAAUAACGGCCUUAUAUUCUGGAGUGAAACCUACUAUGAUUCGAGCAUUCCCUGCCAAUGGAGUACUCUUUUUGGCCUACGAGUAUAGCAGGAAGUCGAUGAUGAGCCAGUUGGAUGCAUACUAAGUGUCCUGGAGGGCCUGAGCCAAGCACAGGUGUUUGAGGACUACAGUUCAUCUCAGGGUUUCUUGGAGUACAAGACCAGCGUGAAGUUAUUCUGAUUUCUUGGGAAUUUUGCUUUUCUGUCUUCCCUUAUACCCUACAUCUUAAAUUGUAUAGAAGAACCUCUAUUUUGCAUCAUAUCAUUUCUGCCCAUAAUUGUACUGAAAUAGAGAAGUCACUGCUCUUUCCCUUGGUAAAAUAGCAAGUGGUCAGCAGCCUUCUGCACCUAAUUCAAAACGCUGAGUAUAGCUCUGUCAGGGCCUUUACAUAAACCUCUACUUGCACAUGCAAUUUGGACAGUUAUGUGUUGAGGGAAACACAGUUUGGUUCCAUGUUUGUUUCAAAUAUUACCGGAAAAACCCAGAGGUGAUCAUUUCCUCAUGAAGAUGCUUGUAAAUGGUUGCUUAACCCAUUCUAGAUGGAGGAUCUGCUUAACAUGUGUACUAUUCUAAGCGGUUGAUUUUUUUUUUUUU